GACGAACGCUGGCGGCGUGCCUAAUGCAUGCCAGUCGCACGCGGCACCUUCGGGUGCUGAGUGGCGAACGGCUGAGGAACACGUGGGGACCUGUCCGGGAGUGGGGGACAACACCGCGAAAGCGGUGCUAAUCCCGCAUACGCUCUGAGGAGGAAAGCCGAAAGGCGCUCCCGGGUGGCCCUGCGGCCCAUCAGGUUGUUGGUGGGGUAACGGCCUACCAAGCCAAUGACGGGUCGCUGGUCUGUGAGGACGACCAGCCAGACUGGGACUGGGACACGGCCCAGACUCCUACGGGAGGCAGCAGCAAGGAAUUUUCGGCAAUGGGCGCAAGCCUGACCGAGCAACGCCGCGUGCAGGAAGACGGCCUUCGGGUUGUAAACUGCUUUUGCUAGGGAUGAUAACAGACAGUACCUGGCGAAUCAGCCCCGGCUAACUCGGUG
rnacentral:rRNA from 1 species